GGUGAACGCUAGCUACAGGCUUAACACAUGCAAGUCGAGGGGUAACAAGAGGAAAGCUUGCUUUUCUUGUUGACGACCGGCGCACGGGUGAGUAACGCGUAUCCAACCUGCCUAUAACUAGGGAAUAACCUUGCGAAAGUAAGACUAAUACCCUAUGAUUUCCUUUGAUGACAUCAGAUUAGGAAUAAAGAUUUAUCGGUCAUAGAUGGGGAUGCGUCUGAUUAGCUUGUUGGCGGGGUAACGGCCCACCAAGGCAACGAUCAGUAGGGGUUCUGAGAGGAAGGUCCCCCACAUUGGAACUGAGACACGGUCCAAACUCCUACGGGAGGCAGCAGUGAGGAAUAUUGGUCAAUGGGCGGAAGCCUGAACCAGCCAAGUAGCGUGCAGGAUGACGGCCCUAUGGGUUGUAAACUGCUUUUAUACAGGAAUAAAGUUAGCCACGUGUGGUUAUUUGUAGGUACUGUAUGAAUAAGGACCGGCUAAUUCCGUGCCAGCCGCCGCAGUAA
rnacentral:rRNA from 1 species